rnacentral:rRNA from 1 species
UCGAGGAUCUUCGGCAAUGGGCGCAAGCCUGACCGAGCGACGCCGCGUGCGGGAUGAAGGCCUUCGGGUUGUAAACCGCUGUCGUAGAGGAGGAAGGCCGGGUGAAGAGCCCGGUUUGACCUAUUCUAGGAGGAAGGGUGGGCUAAGUUCGUGCCAGCAGCCGCGGUAAGACGAACCACCCAAACGUUAUUCGGAAUUACUGGGCUUAAAGGGUGCGUAGGCUGUGCGGAAAGUUGGGUGUGAAAUACCUCAGCUUAACUGAGGAACGGCGCUCAAAACUACCGUGCUGGAGGGAGACAGAGGUGAGCGGAACUUAGGGUGGAGCGGUGAAAUGCGUUGAUAUCCUAAGGAACACCGGUGGCGAAAGCGGCUCACUGGGUCUCUUCUGACGCUGAGGCACGAAAGCUAGGGUAGCGAACGG